UCAAAAGGAAUGGCUUUAAAGGGGAGGAGAAGAAUCUUCUCAAAUUCCAGCCCCACCAGCCCAGUGUUCAGACUACCUGUCCAGGAAAUUGCAAAUGUGUACAGUAGUCUGCACAUUGGUUAGGCUGGGCUUGGAAAAGCAUCGACUCAG